UUAACGGAGAGUUUGAUCCUGGCUCAGAACGAACGCUGGCGGCGUGUCUAAUACAUGCAAGUCGAACGAGAAAGCCCGGCUUCGGUUGGGCAAGUAAAGUGGCGAACGGGUGAGUAACACGUGGGUAAUCUACCCUUGAGUCUGGGAUAAGCCUGGGAAACUGGGUCUAAUACCGGAUGAUAUCGAUUGAUGGCAUCUUUAAACGAUCAAAGGCGGGGUAACCUGCCGCUUAGGGAUGAGCCCGCGGUCCAUUAGCUUGUUGGUGGGGUAAAAGCCUACCAAGGCGACGAUGGAUAGCCGGCCUGAGAGGGCGAACGGCCACACUGGGACUGAGAUACGGCCCAGACUCCUACGGGAGGCAGCAGUAGGGAAUAUUGCGCAAUGGACGAAAGUCUGACGCAGCGACGCCGCGUGGGUGAUGAAGCUUUUUGGAGUGUAAAACCCUGUCAGCGGGGACGAACCACCUGU
rnacentral:rRNA from 1 species